rnacentral:rRNA from 1 species
CCUACGGGAGGCAGCAGUGGGGAAUAUUGCGCAAUGGGGGAAACCCUGACGCAGCAACGCCGCGUGAGUGAGGAAGGACUUCGGUCUGUAAAGCUCUGUUAAUGUGGAAAAAAUGGUAGUUGGUCUAAUAGGCCGAUUAUUUGAUGGUACACAUAGAGGAAGCACCGGCUAACUUCGUGCCAGCAGCCGCGGUAAUACGAAGGGUGCAAGCGUUGUUCGGAUUUAUUGGGCGUAAAGCGCGCGUAGGCGGACCUGCAAGUCAGAUGUGAAAUCUCGGGGCUCAACCUCGAAACUGCGUCUGAAACUACAGGUCUAGAAUCUUGGAGGGGGAAGGGGAAUUUCUCAUGUAGGGGUAAAAUCCGUAGAUAUGAGAAGGAACACCAGAGGCGAAGGCGCCUUCCUGGACAAGUAUUGACGCUGAGGCGCGAAAGCGUGGGGAUCAAACAGGAUUAGAUACCCUGGUAGUCCACGCUGUAAACGAUGAAUACUAGAUAUUGCAGGAUUUGACCCCAGCAGUGUCGUAGCUAACGCGUUAAGAUUCCGCCUGGGAAGUAACGGUGCAAGCUAAAACUUCAAAUGAAUUGACGG